rnacentral:rRNA from 1 species
AUUGAACGCUGGCGGCAGGCCUAACACAUGCAAGUCGAGCGGAUGAUGGGAGAUUGCUCCUGGAUUCAGCGGCGGACGGGUGAGUAAUGCCUAGGAAUCUGCCUGGUAGUGGGGGACAACGUUUCGAAAGGAACGCUAAUACCGCAUACGUCCUACGGGAGAAAGCAGGGGACCUUCGGGCCUUGCGCUAUCAGAUGAGCCUAGGUCGGAUUAGCUAGUAGGUGAGGUAAAGGCUCACCUAGGCAACGAUCCGUAACUGGUCUGAGAGGAUGAUCAGUCACACUGGAACUGAGACACGGUCCAGACUCCUACGGGAGGCAGCAGUGGGGAAUAUUGGACAAUGGGCGCAAGACUGAUCCAGCCAUGCCGCGUGUGUGAAGAAGGUCUUCGGAUUGUAAAGCACUUUAAGUUGGGAGGAAGGGCAGUAAGUUAAUACCUUGCUGUUUUGACGUUACCGACAGAAUAAGCACCGGCUAACUUCGUGCCAGCAGCCGCCGUAACAC